GAUGAAUCAAUAAUGACAAUAAUUGUUAGUUGCAGCCCUCAUUUAUUGAUAUUAAUUUUACUGCCCAAAAUCAGCAGUACAGCACACCAUAAACACUAUUUAAGGGUGGAUUUCCAGCUUUUAAUUAAUCAUCCUGACAAUAUCAUUCUUCCUUUUACCCUGCAAAACACUAUUUUGGGGUUGCACAGUAAUAAAUGACCACUUUUAAAGGCGGAUGCUGCUGCAACUUGUCCAGGCUACAUACUGUAAUGUGCCUGCUGCAGGGAACUGCAGACUUGACUCAGCUUGACUACAGGAAUGCGGAAGCUGAAGAGAGGGGGCGAUGGCUGCUUUGUGAGCAAAUAAACGACAUUUAUUAAGAGAAAAUACCAACUUAUAUCUUCAACAAUCAAUAAAAUGCGCGUACAUCUUGGGUAACUACGAAAGGACACCAGAUGUGGGCAGUUUCUGUCAUGUUGACAGACCUGUUGUGCCAAAAACUCCUACAAAAUGUGUCUCACUAGCGGUGAAUCCGGGUAUAAUCCCUUCAUUUAUUCAUUCAGUUGACAUUUCUCUACAAUAAUAAAUUUCUAGAGCAGUUAUACAUAGACAAAUCAGACAGUAACCGUCGCUCGUUCAGCUGACGUUACGGAAAAUCUGGUUAUUAGCUAGAUUUCAGCUACUUUUUUAAGCCGUGAAAGCUCGUUGAACGCUUUAAGAUGUUUUACUACAUAUUUAUCAGGUGAUUAGGAGCAAAACAAUCUUAUUUUACGACCCGGGAAUGUGGGAGAACCGCCAGGGGUGAUCAAAUUCAUAGGAGUUACCAAUACUGGCGUAACACCGCCCGUGCAGACACACCCCAGCUUCAGGCAAAGCAGCCACGAUUUAUCUGGUGACCCUUUGGAGGGGCCCGACCCCUAGGUUGGGAACCACUGGACUAAACAAGACUCAGUACCAGCAAGACCUUCUUCCAGACUUUAGAUGAUUUCGUAACUUCAAACGAUGUAAGGCCCCUGCUCUAUGUUUGUUUUUUGGAAGCUAAGCAGUGCAUCACCUGCUCAUGGAGGAAACAACCUGUGGAAUUUCACAGUGGCUGA